rnacentral:rRNA from 1 species
GUCUAUGUCCAUGCCACCCUGAACAAGCCCGAUCCCAUCUGAUCUCGGAAGCUAAGCAGGGUCGGGCCUGUUUAGUAAUUGGAUGAGAGACCACCUAGGAAGACCAGUGCUAUAGGCG